rnacentral:rRNA from 1 species
GUCUACGGCCAUACCACCCUGAACGCACCCGAUCUCGUCCAAAUCUCAGCGCCAAGGCUUAGAGAUGGCCCUGGUCAUCAUCCACCAGUGCUGGGAAUUUAGGGAUCCGAGCACC